UUAUUGUGUCACCAGGUUAUACUACAACUGUCUUCCCACGGCGCCACAUGAGAAGAGGCUCAGCAAGGGCCUCGCUGAAGGCUCCAAAGCCCCUGCACUCUGGGGCCUGGCCCAGCACAUAAGCUGAAGGAGGAUGGGUUCAGGUGCAGCGUGCUCUGUGGUUGACAGCUAAGCACUCAUUUCCCUGUAUCCACUCGCUCCUCCUAAAAACUGUACCUGCAGCGUGUUCUCAGCUAACUCCCUCCUGUUGACUCAUUCACAGAAGUCAGGUUUCAGACCCAUCCCAGUACAACAUGCUCCUAACAGAGGGGUUUGUUGCAGAAAGCUCCACUGUGUUGUGGACUAUAUUUGGGUUUGGCACACAAGCAAUAUAUUUAAUCCGUAGGUCAGGUCCGUUUUCUAUUGCUUUUUCCCAUCUGAAACAUGCUAACUCUGGUGCCGUUCCUCUGAGGAGCUCCAAGCACCUCACAAACAUUGGUCAACCAUCCCACCACCCCUGUAAGGCAGGUAGGAUUAUCCCCAUUUUACAAAGGGGAAAACUGAGGCUCAGUUACCCAAAGUCCCACAACACACCAAUGGCAAAGCCAGGAACAGAACUCAGGUUUCCUGACUCCUAGUCUCCCCACUUUAAUAACUAGACUACACUCUUUUUCUUCAGAAACAUUAAUUCUGUUUUCUUUAAAAGGACUUUAUUCUAUUUCUGUAGGUUAAAUGCUUUCUUUAAGCAGAUCUCUCCCUCAUAGAGGUGCUUUUCAAAGGUCUGCUCCAAUGCACUUGAAUGUUUCCAUCAUGCAGCCUUUAUUGUUCCCCUUUCAGCUGUGAAAUAGCACUAAUCUCACACAGGCAAACUCACAAAUGAAGCAAGUUCAGACAUUGUCAUCCAGAAGUCCCCCUGUACUAAACUUAGGAAACCAUAUGUGGCUGCCUGUUCUUAUCAGAGGGUGUGACCAAGCAACUCCCCAGCCAAUCAGAACCAAAUUAAUUCUGCAGGCAUGAAGCAACUGAACUUGUUUAUCACUUUGACAUCUGGCACCAGAGCAAAAACUUGCAAAUCUUAAACUGCCUUCACACAAGGAACUUGUGACACAGACAGCUGCAGCCGCACAGCCCACAGGCUUGGACUAGCUACACUCCCUACAAAGGGUACAGAGCCUGGAUUGGAAGAGAACACAGUAGAAGGGCCAUGUUGGGUUUUCAACGUGCAUUCAGGUUGCUCAAUGCAACAGUGAGGAAUCAGAUUGUUCCCAGAGCAAAUAUUGUUUCUGGAGCACCAGAGGAGAUUGUCACUCCAGCUGAUCAAGCCAUCGCGCUGACUGUGAUGUUUGCAGCCUUCCUAAUCCCCUCCGGCUGGAUUCUGGCACAUCUGGAGGACUACAAGCACAAGCCUAGCGAGUGAGACACAGGAGGAAGCUGCAUCCAGCCUAGUUUAGGAGAAUGGGAAGAGGAGACUAUUGAACGAACCCCUUCAUGGCAAACUGACCUUUAAGGAUUUUAUAAUUAAAACACGAUGAAAAACA